GACGAACGCUGGCGGCGUGCAUAACACAUGCAAGUCGAACGAUGAAGCCGGAGCUUGCUCUGGUGAAUUAGUGGUGAACGGGUGAGUAACACGUGAGUAACCUGCCCUUGACUCUGGGAUAACUGCGGGAAACUGUAGCUAAUACCGGAUACGACCCUCGGAGGCAUCUCCUGGGGGUGGAAAGAAUUUCGGUCAAGGAUGGACUCGCGGCCUAUCAGCUAGUUGGUGAGGUAAAGGCUCACCAAGGCGACGACGGGUAGCCGGCCUGAGAGGGUGACCGGCCACACUGGGACUGAGACACGGCCCAGACUCCUACAGGAGGCAGCAGUGGGGAAUAUUGCACAAUGGGCGCAAGCCUGAUGCAGCAACGCCGCGUGAGGGAUGACGGCCUUCGGGUUGUAAACCUCUUUUAGCAGGGAAGAAGCGAAAGUGACGGUACCUGCAGAAAAAGCACCGGCUAACUACGUGCCAGCCGCCGCAGUAA
rnacentral:rRNA from 1 species